rnacentral:rRNA from 1 species
AUUGAACGCUGGCGGCAUGCUUUACACAUGCAAGUCGAGCGGCAGCGCGGGGGCAACCCUGCGGCGAGCGGCGAACGGGUGAGGAACACAUCGGAACGUGCCCCGGAGUGGGGGAUAACGCCGCGAAAGCGGCGCUAAUACCGCAUAUGCUCUGAGGAGGAAAGCGGGGGACCAGCAAUGGCCUCGCGCUCUGGGAGCGGCCGAUGUCCGAUUAGCAGUUGGUGGGGUAAUGGCCCACCAAGGCGACGAUCGGUAGCUGGUCUGAGAGGAUGAUCAGCCACACUGGGACUGAGACACGGCCCAGACUCCUACGGAGGCAGCAGUGGGGAAUUUUGGACAAUGGGGGCAACCCUGAUCCAGCCAUGCCGCGUGCGGGAAGAAGGCCU